rnacentral:rRNA from 1 species
UGGGGAAUUUAGGAUAAUGGGGGAAACCCUGAUCCAGCCAGCCCGCGUGUGCGAUGAAGGCCUUCGGGUUGUAAAGCACUUUUGGCAGGAAAGAAACGUCAUGGGUUAAUACCCCGGGAAACUGACGGUACCUGCAGAAUAAGCAACGGCUAACUACGUGACAGCAGCCGCGGUAAUACGUAGGGUGCAAGCGUUAAUCGGAAUUACUGGGCGUAAAGCGUGCGCAGGCGGUUCGGAAAGAAAGAUGUGAAAUCCCAGAGCUCAACUUUGGAACUGCAUUUUUAACUACCGGGCUAGAGUGUGUCAGAGGGAGGUGGAAUUCCGCGUGUAGCAGUGAAAUGCGUAGUUAUGCGGAGGAACACCGAUGGCGAAGGCAGCCUCCUGGGAUAACACUGACGCUCAUGCACGAAAGCGUGGGGAGCAAACAGG